rnacentral:rRNA from 1 species
AUUAUAAUUUGACUUUUAAGUGAAAAGGCUUAAAUUAUUCAGAGGGACGAUAAGACCCUAUAAAACUUUAUAUGUCAUUAGUUUUAUACUUAAAUUUUAAUUUAAAAUUGUAAAAUCAAUAGCAUAUUUUGUUGGGGAGACAUUGAUAUAGACAGUAACUGUCCGAAUAAAAAUAAUAAUUAUAUUUAGAAUAUGAUCCUUCUUUGUGGAUAAAAAGAAUAAGUUACUUUAGGGAUAACAGCGUAAUUUUCUC